rnacentral:rRNA from 1 species
GAUGAACGCUGGCGGCGUGCCUAAUACAUGCAAGUCGAGCGAACAGAUGAGGAGCUUGCUCCUCUGACGUUAGCGGCGGACGGGUGAGUAACACGUGGAUAACCUACCUAUAAGACUGGGAUAACUUCGGGAAACCGGAGCUAAUACCGGAUAAUAUAUUGAACCGCAUGGUUCAAUAGUGAAAGACGGUUUUGCUGUCACUUAUAGAUGGAUCCGCGCCGCAUUAGCUAGUUGGUAAGGUAACGGCUUACCAAGGCAACGAUGCGUAGCCGACCUGAGAGGGUGAUCGGCCCCACUGGAACUGAGACACGGUCCAGACUCCUACGGGAGGCAGCAGUAGGGAAUCUUCCGCAAUGGGCGAAAGCCUGACGGAGCAACGCCGCGUGAGUGAUGAAGGUCUUCGGAUCGUAAAACUCUGUUAUUAGGGAAGAACAAAUGUGUAAGUAACUAUGCACGUCUUGACGGUACCUAAUCAGAAAGCCACGGCUAACUACGU